GUUGCAUUGGAUGUCUUCAGUCAGUGACUUCGAGCAGUAUCAUACUAUGUGGAAUUUUGACUGUCUCCCGUGUGGAAAUACAGCACUGGACAAACACACUCCAGCAGAUGAGGGUUCGGUUGGAAAUCCAACGGCAAUCAAUCUUUAUUUACAAG
rnacentral:lncRNA from 11 species